rnacentral:rRNA from 1 species
GGCAUGCCUGUUCGAGCGUCAUUACACCACUCAAGCUAUGCUUGGUAUUGGGUGCCGUCCUUAGUUGGGCGCGCCUUAAAGACCUCGGCGAGGCCACUCCGGCUUUAGGCGUAGUAGAAUUUAUUCGAACGUCUGUCAAAGGAGAGGAACUCUGCCGAUUGAAACCUUUAUUUUUCUAGGUUGACCUCGGAUCAGGUAGGGAUACCCGCUGAACUUAAGCAUAUCAAUAAGCGGAGGAAAAGAAACCAACAGGGAUUGCCCUAGUAACGGCGAGUGAAGCGGCAACAGCUCAAAUUUGAAAGCUAGCCUUCGGGUUCGCAUUGUAAUUUGUAGAGGAUGCUUUGGGUAAAACGCCAGUCUAAGUUCCUUGGAACAGGACGUCAUAGAGGGUGAGAAUCCCGUAUGUGACUGGAAAUGUUAACCUAUGUAAAGCUCCUUCGACGAGUCGAGUUGUUUGGGAAUGCAGCUCUAAAUGGGAGGUAAAUUUCUUCUAAAGCUAAAUAUUGGCGAGAGACCGAUAGCGCACAAGUAGAGUGAUCGAAAGAUGAAAAGCACUUUGGAAAGAGAGUUAAAAAGCACGUGAAAUUGUUGAAAGGGAAGCGCUUGCAAUCAGACUUGUUUAAACUGUUCGGCCGGUCUUCUGACCGGUUUACUCAGUUUGGACAGGCCAGCAUCAGUUUCGGCGGCCGGAUAAAGGCUCUGGGAAUGUGGCCUCCACUUCGGUGGAGGUGUUAUAGCCCAGUGUGUAAUACGGCCAGCCGGGACUGAGGUCCGCGCU